rnacentral:rRNA from 1 species
UACGUAGGGGGCAAGCGUUGUCCGGAUUCAUUGGGCGUAAAGAGCGUGUAGGCGGCCAGGUAGGUCGGUUGUGAAAACUGGAGGCUCAACCUUCAGAGGUCGACCGAAACCAUCUGGCUAGAGUCCGGGAGAGGAGAGUGGAAUUCCUGGUGUAGCGGUGAAAUGACGCAGAUAUCAGGAAGAACACCCGUGGCGAAAGCGGCUCCUCUGGAACGGUACUGACGCUGAGACGCGAAAGCGUGGGGAGCGAACAGG